rnacentral:rRNA from 1 species
UCAGGAUGAACGCUAGCGGCAGGCCUAAUACAUGCAAGUCGAACGGUGAUAUUUAUAUCAUAGUGGCGCACGGGUGCGUAACACGUAUGCAACCUACCUAUUAUUGGGGGAUAGCCUUUGGAAACGGAGAUUAAUACCGCAUAAUACGAUUGACUGGCAUCGGUUGAUUGUUAAAGCUUCGGCGAUAAUAGAUGGGCAUGCGUCCAAUUAGUUAGUUGGUUAGGUAACGGCUGACCAAGACAAUGAUUGGUAGGGGAUCUGAGAGGAUAAUCCCCCACACUGGCACUGAGAUACGGGCCAGACUCCUACGGGAGGCAGCAGUAGGGAAUAUUGGGCAAUGGGCGGAAGCCUGACCCAGCCAUGCCGCGUGCAGGAAGAAGGCGUUAUGCGUUGUAAACUGCUUUUUUAUAGGAAGAAGGAUCCCUUGCGAGGGAAGGUGACGGUACUAUAAGAAUAAGCACCGGCUAACUCCGUGCCAGCAGCCGCGGUAAUACGGAGGGUGCAAGCGUUGUCCGGAUUUAUUGGGUUUAAAGGGUGCGUACGCGGUUUAUUAAGUCAGUGGUGAAAGACGGUCGCUCAACGAUUGCAGUGCCAUUGAUACUGGUAGACUUGAGUGAGAUUGAGGUAGCUGGAAUGGAUAGUGUAGCGGUGUAAUGCAUAGAUAUUAUCCAGAACACCGAUUGCGAAGGCAGGUUACUA